GCUACAGUAGCUCAAUUGGUAGAGCAGUCGCUUUGUAAGCGAAAGGUUUGAGGGUUCGAUGCCCUCCUGUAGCU
rnacentral:tRNA from 1 species